CUCUCUCUCUCUCUCAAAAAUAAAUUGAAAAAAGAGUUGGAUGCUUAACCAACUGAGCCACCCAGGUGCCCCUGUUUCUUACAGUUUCUAAUCCUCAAUCUCAUUGUGUAUGGUUCUGGUUUGUUCAUUCUCAUUGCUGCAUCCCAUGAUUUAUCUAUUUUACUGUUGUUAGACAUUUGAGUUGGUUCUAAUUGUAUGAAUGUUGGGUAUGCAUCUUUUGGUGAAUAUGGGUAUACACCACGAUGUGAAAUGUCUGGGACAUAUGUACAUCCUCAGUUGUACAGGAUACUGUCAAGGAAUUUUCCAAAGGACUUGUACCCUUGACACUCCCACGAGCAGGAUUUGAAAGUUCCAGGUCCUCCACAUCCUGGCUACACGUGAUAUGUCCUGUCAUUCUUGUUUUAGCCCUUCUGGUGGAUUGAAAUGGUAUUGUAUUGUGGCUUUAAUUUGCAUUUCCCUGAUGACAGAUAAAGCUGAGCAUCAUUUUUACGUGCUUACUGGCCAUUUGGAUAUUCUCUUUUGUGAAGUUUCCAUUCAAGAUUUUACUUUGGUCCAUUUCUUCUAUUGAAUUGCCUGCCUUUUUCUUACUGAUUUCCAUUUCUUUGUUCUGGCUAUGAGUCCUUUGUUAGAUAUAUGUGUUACAAAUACUUCUCCCACUCUGUGGCUUGCCUCUGUGCUAGGUUACUUUUUAUGCGAAGGGGAAAUAAUUUUAUAACUAGCUCAGAUGUUAACAUAAUCUUUGUUGGCUGUCUUUGCCAGAUUUUAUAUAAAUCAUGUGUCAGUCUUCUUGCAAUUUUUGUCUUGAUGGAUGAUGUCAUCAUAUUAGUGUGCCUGAAGAGUAUAGGAUUUGAGAGAGAGGAAAUCUAGUGAGUUUUUGUAUUUUUGUUAAACUUUAGUUUUAUUAGGUUAUUAUUUAAGACUUGGCUAUUUUUCUUUUCCUUUGCUGUGCAAGUUAAGAUGCGUCUACGUGUGGUGUAGACACUGCGGGUUGCUUACCCUGCUUUCAUUCUCCUCUCUCUGCUAAUAGAAGCUUCAUUUGUUCAGAGCUGCAGUGUGCAUAAUUAAGCUGCUUGCUGAUUUAUGACUCUUUGAAAUUAGGGUUGGUUAUGUGACAUGUUCUGCCAGUGGCCCAUGUAGGAGAGGUCUGUUGCGUGGGAAUUCCAGGAAAGCUGUUGCUUUUCUAAGAGAAAGGAACAGACUUAGCCGGCAGACAUCUUCUGCCCGUCCUGUAUUCCUUUCUGGAAAGCGCUCCUGAGUCUCCGAGGCUUUGCCACUGUCCUGCAAUCAUGACGAUGAGACAUAGGUGCUAAAGAUAGCAGAGUUGGUCGUGGGUGGUGUCGUGGGGUCAAAGUAUAAGCCUUGGGCUGCUUUCUUAGGUUGUCCAGAGAAAGACCGAUAGGAGAUGGAGAUCUACUUAUAUUUACGCAGGCUGGAAAGUUCCAUGAUUUGCUGUCUGCAGCUAGAGACCUGGGAGAGCUGAUGGUAGAAAUUCCAGCCUGAGUCCAAAUGCUUGAGACCCUGGAAAGCCAAUGGUGUAAGUUCUAGUCUAACGAAAGGAGAAGACCAAUACCCUAGUUCAACAAGUGGGGCUGAGAGAGGGAGCAUGUGUGAGCAUGCUCCCCAUGCCUUCAACUGAUUGGACAAGGCCCACCCACACUGCGAGGAGCCAUCUGCUUUACUCAGUCCAGUGAUUCAGACAUUAAUCUCCUCCAGAAUAAUGUGUUUUUUUCCCCCCAAGUUUAUUUAUUUUGAGAGACAGUGCGCGUGCUAGAGGGGCAGAGAGAGAGAGAGGGAGACAGAGAAUCCCAAGUCGAGCGUGGAGCCUGAGGAGGGGCUCAAAGUCAUGAAACCAUGAGAUAAUGACCUGAGCUGAAACCAAGAGUCAGACACUUAACUGACUGAGCCACCCAGGUGCCUGCAUCCAGAAUAAAUGCACCCUGUGUACCAGCCACGUUGACACAGUUACGCAUCACAGCGGUCUUCCUCGUGGCCUCUUGUUUUAUGAGAGGAGUAUGGGGUAAUUUCCCAGUUCAGGGUGUUCCCACAUAUGUUGCUGAAUUCAGCCCCUAAGAAACACAGACAUUACUCAGAUUUCUUGGCUUACAAAAUCAAGACUUGUGGCAGGUAUGUGACGGUGCUCUAGGGGUGCGCCUGCCUGAGCUGCAGUAAGGUGGGGCUUUGCCACAUCCUGCUAAGACAGAAAUGCACCCGCGUACCUGUGCGUGAGUCUGUGGAUAUGGGCCCCCGGUCAUCUCAGCUGCAGAAAAGCCCUUCAUCCAACUGAUGUUAAAGGCAGUUCAGAGACCACCGGGUGCUGGAGACCUACAGGAGCGCUUCUGGCCCGGAGGGGCAAUUCUGUCACCCGGCUUAUUAGACAGAAGCAUCUAGCUCUUGUCUCUCUCUGGUGUUUAUCCCCAGGUCUUUGUUAGAGUAACAAACGGCUUUGAGAGGGAAAAGUCCUAAAUACUUGUUACUGAUGUGAAAGAUACUUGAGAAGGUACGUGCUUGUGACUUCCUUAUUUGGGGCAAAAUCAGCUUUGAUUCCCAUUAUGAGUCUGGGACUCACAUUAUGCCCACGUGGGCCUAAAAGGUACUUGUGGCUUUUUGUCCUUUAUACAGUUUUUUGAUAAUUUUCUUUAUUGUUUAUUUUUGAGAGAGAGAGCAUGAGCAGGGCCACCUAAUUGCUGAAGGAGGAAUGGUUCCGUUCGGCAGUUUUCCACGCUUGGAGAACCAGCGUCCUGCUGCCACUCGGAGAUCACGGCAUCGUAGGCUUGUGCCGCCUCUUCUGGGGCCUGAAUCCCGGCUCUGCGGGUCCCGCCAGAAUAGAAAUCUCUGCGGGCCAGGGAUUCCACACCUCUGGUUUGCUGCAGAAGUGAGGUGAGAAGGAAUGAGCGGAUGGUCCUCCAGGGGUGAUUGCAAGACUUUGGGAUGAUGCCAAGAUUUUUGCCCGAGCCCUGGACGGUUGGAGUUGCCUGUGGCUGAGCCGAGGAAGGAGACGGUGGAGCAGGUUUGGAGGGGGAAGGUCAGAGUGUGAGCUCUGGCCAUGCUAGCAUGUUAACGUUUUAUUUAUUUUUGAGACAGAGAGAGACAGAGCAUGAACGGGGCAGGGGCAGAGAGAGAGGGAGACACAGAAUCGGAAGCAGGCUCCAGGCUCUGAGCCAUCAGCCCAGAGCCCGACGCGGGGCUCGAACUCACGGACCGCGAGAUCGUGACCUGAGCUGAAGUCGGACGCUUAACCGACUGAGCCACCCAGGCGCCCCCAUGCUAGCAUGUUAGAUCAUCUCCAGGUGGAGACGUUGACAGGAAGAUGUCCAAGCUCGGGGAAUAAACACAGGUGUCGUCAGCCCCUACACGACACUUAAAACUGUGAGAGCAGAGGACAGCUCCCGGAAGAGUGGGGACGGUGAAGGGGAGAGAACAGAGCCGGGAAGGGCCGAUGCCGGGGCGCCAGGGAGAUGAAAACUACCGAGGAGGUUGGAAACCGGAGCCCCGACUGACUGUCGUGAGCAGGAAAACACGGGAGUUCGCCGUGUGCUGGCAUUCCAGAGAAGGAUGCGAGGGGACCCACUGUGUCGUGUAGCCGCAAGGGGCUGGCUCCUUGCGCCUGCGGGCCCAACUGGCUGCUGCCUCGGUGACGUGAUGUAGAUGGUGGUGACAAAGCGAGAGCUGUGGUGUGAGUGCACGGCCAACAGCAGUGCUGGUAAAGAGCCUGAGCAUCCUGCCUGCCUCCCCGAUGGGUCCUGUGCCUCCUCCACAGACCCAGGGACCACAGAGAGACUAAGGAUGGCCCAAAGCCCGGAUUGCCUCAGCGUUGGUUCCGCCAUUCUGUGGGGACAGGACCCAGGCCCGGCACAUGCUGCGUAUGGGUAACUACUUGUAAGGAACAGUGAGACACAUGCUAAUGUAGCCAGAGACUGACCUCGAACGUCUAAUCCUUUUUGGUGGUGGGAGCACAUCAUUGAGAAUAUGUCGUCUUUGUAUAAUUAACAAGGCAAUUAGAGAAAGGGAGACUUAGCCUCUACGACACAAACUGAGCUCUUCUGUAUCUAGCAAGACUGUGAGGGUAUCAGCUUUAGAUUGACUUAAAAAAAAAAAAAUCCGAGGAGGACAAAGGCACCUGAAUUACAGAUUUCCGGAGCCUGUUGAAGCACGGACCGCUUAGAAACAAAAUCUCCGAGAGGCAGCCAAGAUCUUUUCAUCUUGAAAAUGCUUUAAUAAGUGUUGACAACACUGUUUUGCAAAAUGUAAAGGUACUAUACAAAUUCUUAAUACAAAAAGAAUAAAUUAAAAGCAGAUUUCUUUUUAGUUCUGCAACUUUGUCUACAACAUACAUCCUUGUCAUUGAUUACAGUUGAACAGAAUCCGGUAAAAUCAUUUUACAUGCUCUACAGUCAGUUUCAGGAGCAACCUAAUCCUUUCUCCCCAUUAUUAAACUAGAGUCCAUUUUACACAACGUGUAAUAAACUAUUGACAUUAAUGUAUAUGUAAAACUUUACACCUAGUUAACUAAGCAGUAACUGGUCAUCUGAUAGCACCUGGAGGGGGGGUUUGCUAUAUUUAGAACUAACACUGAAUGAAAACAAAUCGGAAUUUUAACAGUUUCAACACUCACCUGCAUAUAAUAAAACAAAACAAAAAAAAUCCACCUGUCUCACAACAAAGUCUGAUGUAGGUGUUCCCAACAGUCUUCAGGCUAAACAGGCAAUUUCUUACACGUAUCCCAAGAAUCCAGUAGGGGCUUAUAUCAGACCAGGGGCUUUAUGUUCCAUCUUUGUUUUUAAAGAAAUCGGGAUCUGGGAAGAGCUUGCAAGUGCCUGUACAAAACAGCUAUUGUUUCCCACCACACUGGUCAUGAAUCAUGUCGGUCUCAAAGGACUAACAGUAUGUACAUUUUGUAGUAACUGAACGCAGCUCAACAGUAAAACCUGUUUGACUUAAUCUCCGUCUUUACUACCAGACUAUAAUGGUGUUUGUCUGAACUGGAUUUCCCUCCCACCCCGUUCCUCGCUGCCUCCUGAAUCCAAAACCCAAGCGUUGAGGAAGAAUUUUCGUCUCUCAUUCCUCGUAAACCCAACUGGGCUCAAAGCGUGACCCGAUGGACGUCAGACCAGAUUUGAAACUACGGUACGUGCUGGUCACCCCGCAGCCACGUAACCUUGUCACCUCCUCGGUUUCUCUCUUGACUUGCCCUGCUGCACACAGUUCAGUUUGAUUAUCUGUGUGUCGCUGGAGAGAAAGGAAGAUGGCCCGGUGCAGAAUAUUCUGAAUGGGGAAGGAAGAAAACCUGCGGGCUGUAGCUCUGAUCGAUCAUCAAAAUGAGGGCAACGAAAACCCCAUCCCCUCCUUCCCCACGAUCACUUCAUGCCAUUGGAACCAGUUUUGUUUCUCCUGCAGGGUUUCCCCAGAGGUUUUGUGAGGAUGUCCCUUUCUCCAGCUGUUACCACCACAGAGCUGGUGUGCACGGAGAGGGGACACCGGGCCCUCAGUUGCCCAGAGCGGUCCCAGCCUCAGUGGGACCCCCACAGUGCUUUCCAAGCUACAGCAGAAGGAGAGCACUGCCACUGAAUUCACGGUAGUGUCCAUCCUACCCUCCUGGUCUGGUAGAGUCUCUCGUUACUCGCGGAUUACACAUACAUAAAAAAAACAAAGAUUUUUCUUCUUACGCUAAAGCUAACUGUGGUUCUGUUUGCCCACAAAAUUACCCCACCCCGGCUCCUGUCCCUGGCUGUCAAAAUGCCUUUGCAAUAUAGGAAGUCAUUACAAGUGAGAAAAAGCGCCCCCUCCCCCGCCCCCCCCCCCCACCUGUGCCAGUAAGCACAGCGUACCCCCUCUGUGGAGACCGUGUUUGUGCCAUUUGGAAUAACCCAACGAAGAGUGUGCGCUCAUUAUUAUAAAAGUAUUUUUGAGGCCUUUGAAGAUAGAUGGCUUUCCGGUUGUGUAUUAAGCAGAGCUCAAAACACAUGUAAACGUGCAGCUCCCACACACCUUUUCUCUCUCUCUUUUCUUCCUCUCUUGGUGUCUGCAGACGAAUGCGGGUACAUCAAGGUAGCUGACGAGGCUGUAGGCGUACGGGCCCUCUGGGAGCCGGGACUUUCUCCCCCCCACCCCUGCUCCGCCUAAGAGACACGGGAUAAAAAUCUCAGGGCAUAGUUGGGUUCUUUGAAUAAGUGACACGUUGGUAGCCGGGUGCCAAGAGCAGUCGAAGUCGGGUCUGAGCUCUUUGUCACACAAGUGCUAACAAAUAGAAAAUGAGCCACAACGGUCAGAACACUCGAAUGGAUGGCCAUGUGCUUUUCCCUUGGUUUCCCGUAAAAAAGAAAAACGUAACACCUUGUGCAAAACAGGACACGCUUUUACUGGUGGUUUUAAUGAGAGAGAAGCGCUUGGCGAUCACCACCUUCCAUUUCCUACAGAUCCCAAAAGAAAAGCAGCUUUGUGUGGUGGGUUGGCCGGGAAGCCCCGCCCCCCCUCUCCCCCUCCCCCCCUCUCCCCCUCCCCCCCUCCCGCAGAGACCAGGCGGACCUGCUCCUCCCCGUCCACACUCCCAGGGAUCUGGGGCAGCAGCUGGGUUAGCUCUCCGGGCUCUGGCCUGAGACAGUGGGUGGGACGGUGGGGGAGAGGGACAGAGAAGGGGAAACCAUUUACGUGUGGUGGGCUUGCACUUGUGAUGAGUAGGAGCCGUUGAGAAUUUGAAAGGUUUCACUGCAGAAAGAAUGUCUUCCCCUUGGCCCCUUUUUUGUUUUUUUAUUUUUAAUUUUUUUUUUUUUUUAAAUCUUUGGCAGCAUAGAACUGAUUGUGAUCCUCGGAUGCAUCUCUGACAUGUUAAGCUUCCUUUUUCAUUCUCCCCCUCCCCCGACAGCCACUCCCCCCUCCCCCCCUCCCACCC